UCUAUUUGUCCUUAUUCUCAAAAGAUCGACCAUAAAUCCUCUCCCGUUCACCGGAAAGAUAUCUGAGUUCUUGCUUUGUCACUUCGCUACAAGGGCAGAGAGUAUUGGAUGGGUCAUGGGUCAUGGGUCGGGUCGGAUUGUUACGGCCAAGCAAAGAAUGUAUACGACCACUACCCCGGAAUUGGGCGGGUUAUUGUUUUGGUUAUCUCCGAGAGGUCCCGUAUAUGACGAUUUCUCUGUUUCUGAAUAGAGGAGAGAAAAUGGGAGAUUGAAAUCUCCAGCUUUCGACUUAAAUGCUUAAAAGGUUUUAAGACAGUAGAUAGUACUUACCCUAGUGAGCAUGUCAAGAGCCAUCUUUGAAGAAGCGUAAGCAAGACCCCCGGGUACUAGUACUCGAUUCAGACCAGAAACUGAAGAGAUAUUAAUAACUGAUCCUCCGCCCUGUUUUGUGUCGCGCAUGCGUCUACCAACAUAUUUGGAAACCAACCAUGCCCCUCUGAGAUUCGUCUUAAAGGAAAAUUACCUCUAAGGCCGGCAUUGUUAAUCAAGACAUCGAUACGUCCAAAGGCAUCUCAAGCUCUUUGUACAGCGGCCUCAAUGGUAGCACCAUUGGACGUACUUGUCAAUACAACGAGCAGCAGCAAUGAUGCUGCAACCGGCUUUGGCCAAGUCAAGACACCACUCUCGUCCGAUACCCGAGCAUGGCCCUGUCACCAUCACUACUUUCCCGCUCAGGUCUUUCCACGGCUCCAUUUUACUUUGGUAUAUUUGGAAGGAAGUAUAAUGUGAUAAUGUGGGAAGUUAAAUAGCAGAUUGAAAGCCAGUUAUUGUUUUAUGAAAGAGCUGUUUAAUGUACCAUGUGUGACCAGAACUGAGUUGGCCAACCUAUAGCAUUUGUGAACAUGGCCAAACGGCCAACUCUAAUAAUGACAUCAGUAAACAAUAUUAGACAAGCAUAAGAUUAUUGUGACCCAUUCAAUUUUUAUCAUAGUCAAAUAGUAGUGAUCAUUUGCGUUGUUGAAGUGUUUCUUCUUUACCUGUUGAAUAAUCAUCUCAGUUUUUGAACAAAAAGU